rnacentral:rRNA from 1 species
GCAUAAUCAUUAGUCUUUUAAUUGAAGGCUGGUAUGAAUGGUUGGAUGAGGUACAAGCUGUGUCAUAAAAAUUAACUUUUGAAUUUACCUUUUUAGUCAAAAGGCUAAAAUAAAAUUAAAAGACGAGAAGACCCUAUAGAGCUUUAUAUAAUUUAUAUUUAAAUUAUUCAGAUUUUUUAAAUUUAAUUAUUUUAUUAUAUUUUGUUGGGGUGACAAUAAAAUUUAUAAAACUUUUAUUUUUAUUAACCAUUUAUUUAUGAGUAUAUGAUCCAGUUUUAUUGAUUAUAAAUUUAAGUUACCUUAGGGAUAACAGCGUAAUUUUUUUUGAGAGUUCUUAUCGA